rnacentral:rRNA from 1 species
UGAGCACGAGCUGCUACGGCAGCGAAGUGGGUGACGUCAAGCUUCCAAGAAAAGCCCUACACCCGUUAAGGCAUGAUGGCCUGUACCCGAAACCGACACAGGUAGGAUGGUAGAGAAUACCGAGGGGCGCGAGGUAGCUCUCUCUAAGGAACUCGGCAAAAUGGCCCCGUAACUUCGGGAGAAGGGGUGCCACCGCAAGGUGGUCGCAGUGAAGAGCCCAGGCGACUGUUUACCAAAAACACAGGUCUCCGCUAAGUCGCAAGACGAUGUAUGGGGGCUGACGCCUGCCCAGUGCCGGAAGGUUAAGGAAGCUGGUCAGCGUAAGCGAAGCUAGCGACUGAAGCCCCGGUGAACGGCGGCCGUAACGAUAACGGUCCUAAGGUAGCGAAAUUCCUUGUCGGGUAAGUUCCGACCCGCACGAAAGGCGUAACGAUCUGGGCGCUGUCUCGGAGAGAGGCUCGGCGAAAUAGAAUUGUCUGUGAAGAUGCGGACUACGUGCACCCGGACAGAAAGACCCUAUGAAGCUUUACUGUAGCUUGGUAUUGUGCCCGGGCUCUGAAUGCGCAGGAUAGGUGGGAGGCUUUGAUCAACAGCUUGCGGGUUGUUGUGAGCCAACGGUGAGAUACCACUCUUUCAGAGCUAGGGUUCUAACGGUCACCCGUUAUCCGGGGACCGGACAGUAUCAGGUGGGCAGUUUGACUGGGGCGGUCGCCUCCUAAAAGGUAACGGGGGCGCGCAAAGGUUUGCUCAGGCUGGUUGGAAAUCAGCCGAUGAGAGUAAAAGCAGAAGCAAGCUUGACUGUGAGACCUACAAGUCGAACAGGGACGAAAGUCGGCUUUAGUGAUCCGACGGUUCUGAGUGGAAGGGCCGUCGCUCAACGGAUAAAAGUUACUCUAGGAUAACAGGCUGAUCUCCCCCAAGAGUUCACAUCGACGGGGAGGUUUGGCACCUCGAUGUCGGCUCAUCGCAACCUGGGGCUGAAGUCGGUCCCAAGGGUUGGGCUGUUCGCCCAUUAAAGCGGUACGCGAGCUGGGUUCAGAACGUCGUGAGACAGUUCGGUCCAUAUCCGGUGCAUGCGCAGGAAUAUUGAGAGGAGUUCUCCCUAGUACGAGAGGACCGGGAGGAACGCACCUCUGGUGUACCAGUUAUCGUGCCAACGGUAAACGCUGGGUAGCCAUGUGCGGAGAGGAUAACCGCUGAAAGCAUCUAAGUGGGAAGCCCACCUCAAGAUGAGUAUUCCCAUGGCAUAAGCCAGUAAGGUCACGGGAAGAACACCCGUUGAUAGGCUCUACGUGGAAGCGCAGUAAUGCGUGAAGCGGAGGAGUACUAAUAGACCGAGGGCUUGAC